rnacentral:rRNA from 1 species
UCUUUAUAUAAGUGUUUGUUUUUUGUUAAUAAGUUGUUUAAUAACUAAAGAUAGAUAAUAUAUUGUAUUGGGGUGAUAAGAGUAUAAGUAAUAUAACUGCUUUUGUUUUAAUACUUGUGAUGUUUGAUUAUUAUUAAUGAUCCUUUUUAAGAUUUAAAGAUUAAGUU